AACUUUUAGCAAUGGAUCACUAGGCUCUUGCAUCGGUGAAGAACGCAGUGAAAUGCGAUAAGUAAUGUGAAUUGCAGAAUCUCGUGAAUCAUCGAAUCUUUGAACGCACAUUGCGCCCUAUGGUAUUCCGUAGGGCAUGCCUGUCUGAGCGUCAGCUCCCACCCACUCAAGCAUCUUUUAUUUGGGAUUCUUGGAAUGAUUUGGAGAGAUGUCUUGUCAUAGAGAUGUCCUCCAGAAAUUCAUAGGCAGUAUGGUUUGCACCUGAACCAGACGUAAUAAUAAUAAAAUCGUUUGAUUGGGAAUAAUUGUGCUUGCCUUAACCCACCCAUUUUUCUCAUUUGGGUGACCUCAGAUCAGGUAGGGAUACCCGCUGAACUUAAGCAUAUCAAUAAGCGGAGGAU
rnacentral:misc_RNA from 1 species